AGUGCAGAGGAUGCAGAUAAGAGGGGUGAGGGGUGCUCACUGCUUCUGCUCUGCUGUGCCUGCAGAGGGAUCUGGGGAAAUCAGGUCCAUGCACAGCCAUAAAAAUGUUCAGGUUGCACAGACCCCAGUGAAAUCAGGUCCUUAGGGACUCCUGGUCACCUAAAUAUCUCAUGGGAACAACAGUUUCUCUCUGGUCUGAGACAUCCAGGGUGAAUGAAGGGCUAUUCAGGAGGACCCCGUCCACUUUUAGGGUUGCUCAGAUGCUCCAUCUCUGUAAGGAAACAGCCAGGCCAGAACAUCAUCUCUGGGAUGCAUUUGGGAAAGGGAGGGGAUACAUUAUCUCAUUGGCCUGAAUGCUCCUCUUCUCUUUCCUCCCCCAGAAAAGCUGCCAAGAGUAAAGAUCUCUCAGGAAAUAAACUCCCACUCCCUUGUUCUCACCAUGUGCAGAGGGGAUGAUGCACCAUCCUGGCAUGGCUGGGUAGGCAGGGGACAGCAACACAGCUCCAGCCCUACCUGUGCUACCAUGAGAGCUACUUUCAAAAGGAGAUUUUGCAUUAUUAUUUUUAUAGACAUGGAGAUCUUCCUCCUGAGUGGAGGCAGACUCAGCUUGGAGGUGGGGGGUGUCAGAUACUGCUGUCAAAUAGGCUCAGAAACAGACACACAUGUAUAAUACAUGCUAGACAGUUUGGCUGACAAAUUAUUGUUUCUGCUGUCACUUAAAUUGUUCUAUACGUGAUCUUCCCCUCCCAUUUCUGUUUCAAUCAAACCUGCCUAGGGAUGACUCUCCUUCCAGCCCUUCUCAUGACUAAACCAGUUUAAAACCCAGUUUGCUCCAUUCAUGCACAGUGAGUUGGACUCAUUUCCCUUUUGAAGUUGUGGAUGGCCAAGAGGAGGGAAAUGACAGGGAUGCUCUUUGCUUCCUGCUCCCUGUUGUACCUGAUACUACAGAAAUAAUUAUGAUGAAAAUCAAAGAGCUCAGGGAAAGGUAAAAUACAGCUCCUGUGUUAGCUUUUGGUCACAAGGUAGGUGGAAUGGGGACUGGCAUGGGAUAGAUCUGUGCAGAAGAGCAGCCUGGGAUGCAGGGCAGAGCUGUCAUUAGGGCUCUGUUCUCCCGGUGACCUCCAUCCCAUGUGGGACACCAGCAUGUGCAAUAGCAGAUUGUGUCCCAGCCCGGUGGGCAGUCCUUACCAGCUGGGAAGAGGAGCUGCAGGUCCACAGCAGUAGCUGCAACCAGGGGAUGGGAAAUAUGGGGACAACUUGUGCCACCAAAGACCAUGGAAAGUCUGCCUCCAGCUCUGGUCCAGCAAUUCUGGAUGGGACUUAGCUGGCAGACAAAACAGUUUUGUGUGUGAAGCCAGGAAAAUUUGCUAGUCUUUCCAGGAAAGUGCCCCUGGCUUUUCUAUCCUGCAAACUGUGCCUCAUGUCAGGAAAUCACCUCCGAAAUACUCACAUGCAGGAAGCUCUCAGCAUCCCUCCAUCAGCUCUGACAGCCCUGUGCCUCUUACAGUCCAGCACCAAGGCAGGGGUAGCACCACCAGAAAGCAGUGGAGUAAGGCAGAAAGCAGCUCUCAUCUUUAUGCUGGACCCAUCCAUUUCUCCCCUCUGUGAUGUCAAGGUGAAUUUGGCUGUUACAAACCGAGUCAGUCCCCUCGUGGUUCCUCCUGCCAGCAGCCUGUGCAGGUGAAUUACAGCUCAACAUGAAUCCUGUCUCCAUCUAGUACCCUGAAGAGCAGGAUGAAGCUGUCGGUGUUGACAAGAGCUGUUGAAAUGUCUUCAGGACACCCCACUUCAAGCAAUUCAGUCAGCAGAAUUUAGAAAUAUCUCUAAAAAGUGGAUCUGAAGGGUAUCACCUCUCAGUUUGCCCUACCUGAAUGGAGCAGCAGCUCAGGUGAGAGUCAGCUGAGUGAUCUGCUGGGGUUUCCUUAGAUCACCUGUGCCACUGACCUGGGGGGACUGUCCCCCUGAGACACGUGGAUUUGAGGAGACAUGGCAUACUCAGGGAUACUCUGGGAGGAGAACAGUAAAGGAGAGACAGACAGCAAAGUGUUUCAGCAGCUGAGCCCCAGCACAGGUAAGAAGAAAGGCCAUUGCCUCCUGCUCCCACAGACAAGGCUCAGACUCACUGUGCUGCUCUGAAACAAACCUCCAUGGCCACUGCUGCCCUACAUCUCCUUUCAGCAGCUCAUUAUUUGAAAUUCUAGGUCUCAGUUGUUUGCCAGUUGAGCUGUGCUGCGUUUUCUGAAGCAGGGAAAGGCUGCCACCAGUGCGUACCUGCUUGUUCUAAGCUCUGGCAAGGCAUCAGCCUCAGUGGGAAGUGCAGAGCUGCAUGCUCCCACCACUACACAGGUACAUCCUGCUCCAAAAGGCUAUUCACACCUGGGACCAAGCUGAGAAACUUUAUCUGGGAAGCCCAAGCCAUGCAUGAGGCCACAGCUCCAGCCUCUGGCAGCAUCUGGUACCUGCCUGCAUCCUCUGCUGCAGGCGGCCCCGCUCCCACCUGCCGGGGGGCAUCACCUGUAUUUACUGCUGCUUGAGUUUGCCAGUAACAGCAACUAACCUGGACACGUCUGUUCUUGCCAGGGAGUUUGCAGGGAGCCAUUCCCACCUCCCUGCUACCAGGAGCAGGGAAAGCAUUUCACAGUCAAUGCUCCUUUCUGUGUGGGGCUGAGGAAGGCAGGCAGCGAGCUGUGAAUAGCUUCAAAGAGGAAGGUCAGCAAGCCAGCGAGGAUGGAUUAGAAAAGGACAAUGCAGAAAAGACCUGAUUAAUUUAAUUGCUCAUCUGAAAUGUAGUCGCAGACUAAAGAAGGAUGAAGAAAUUAUAAGCAUAUGAAUGGAGCCAAGUAGUGAUUUUAAGAGAGAAUAUCAGAGCCCUGCCUCCCCCUGCACCCUCUGCCCCACAUACAAAGGGUUUUGUAUUCAGAGAUUACUCCAGACUUCUGGCUCUUCUCCUCAUGCUGUCUCUUCGGAAAUGGAGACACUGACUACCAACACAUGUUUAAUUAGCUGCAGCUUGAUCUUGUUGCUGGCGGCUCAGACUGAUCAUUAGAGCCAGGCAUGUGCCAAAACCUGUGAGGAGAUGUAAUGUGGAAACCAUUCUGCUCCCAGCAGAACUGAGGUUUUCCUGGUGGAAAUGGAUUGAUGGGCAUGGCCUCAGCCUCUGCAUUUCACAUCCUGCCUCGAAGGACCUGGAUCAGUGUCACAAAGGAGAAAUGCAUUUCUACCUCCCCUUGCUUAAAACGGUACCUUCAUCAGAUCUUUUUGUAUUUACAGUCAACAGAUCACACCUCCAAACACUUCAGAAAUAAUAUUUGUAACUAGAGAGAGGCAGAAGUAAUUUUAUGGAAAAUUUCACAGGUUGUUUUUUUUUUUUUUUUUUUUUUUUUUUUUUUUUUUUUUUUUUUUUUUUUUUGUUUCCAGUUGGAACAAAAAAACAAAAGAAACCUCCCCAGGAAAUAUACUAUAAAAGACAUUUGGUUUAGGUCAAAAUACCAUGCUUUUUUUUUUUUUUCCCUGAAAUCUGUGCCUUAUAUUUGCUAAUAUUAAAUAGCUGGAAAAUUAAGCCAAUUUUGAAGUGGAAACUCAGACUCUUCUGUGAAGGCUGAAAAUAACUUCUUAGCAUUCUUCAUCUUGCUCUUGCAAAGAGAGGUCAGAAACUUGUCAGCUAAAUCUGCUUCUGGGAAGCUACAAUUCCAAUUGCCUGGAUCACUUCACAGGCGAAAAUACUUGGAAAAUGUUGGAGUGAGACUGACAGGCACCACUUUCGGUCAUCAGCUUCCUCCUCCUGCUCAGUGCAAGCCGGAGCUGCCUCCAGGAAUCUGUUCUGCAGAGGGGCUCAUCCCCUCCCACAACGUGACCACCAUUACCAAGGGCUGUGACUGCUGGAUGAACUGAAACAUUUCUCUGACAACGACCUGGUUGAAAGAGUUCUCCAUUUGAAGAGUUCAAGCGAUGGGAGAACUUCAGGCACGGGCUGAGCCACUUCAGCUGUUAAUGACGCCUGGGUUGGGCUGAAUUCCUGCGCCUUUGCCUGGUAAUGGGAGCUGUCUCACCUCAGUGCUCUUCCCCUGACAGAAUGCUUUCUUCUGAGUCAGCCCUCAAUCAUCUGUUUGAGGAGUUGUGUUGGAAAGACUCAACAGAACAGGCUUCUCUGCUCUCUUCAAUUUUCAAAGCGUGGCUGUGAGGAAAGGAAUCAAAUGUCCCGAUUUAGGACUAAUUCCUUGAGACAUGCCUUUCCAACAGCCUUCAACAAAAUGUGUUUGAUUUUCUGUAGAAGAAAAGUGCCCCUCACCGGGGCAGAAGGCCAAAAGUGAUCAAGCAAUCACCUCUGUCUCUGAAGCUGCACAAAGAGACUGAAGAGUGCUGCAAUUGUGAUAGAACCCCAGCACUGAGCACACAGAACCUAAGAACUGGAAGUGCUAAAAUGACAUUUCAUUAUACAGGGCUGGAAGGUUAUGAUUCAGGGUCUGUGUAUUAAUUCCACAGCAGCUCACGUUUAAAGUCUUUGUAAUAAUUUAUUAAGGAUAAAUGAUAGAAAAGACAUUUUUAUGAGAUUGGUCAUUUAAAAUAAGUAUUGAGCUUUUGAAACACUGCAUGUUCUGUUUUCUACAUUUGACAGUGUUUCAGUGUUUCCUCUCUCCUUUGAAAAAAUAGAAGCUGGAAAAGGCUGGACCUGCCAGCACUAAGAGAUCUGCAGCAUUUUCUGAGACAAACCAUGAGGAACAUAUAAGGGAAGACAGAAACUGCAACUUCACUCUUACCUGCAGUAUCUGGGGCAGUGAUGAUGUAACACUGGUUACACUUCAACACUUGAUUGUCAUCCUGGGAGGCAAUCCCUACAUUUGCUUCCUUUUAGACCAAAUUUCUCCUGCCUGAAUUUUCUUGUAUAUCUGAUACUGUCUUUUCCAAUUUAUGAAAGUUGAUUUUUUUUUUGCACAUUUCUUUCCGUAACACUAGAAAUGGUGUGGUCCAGGCUUACGGUCCAGGCCCAUUAUCCCAGCUCCUCCUUCAAAAACACUUGCAAAAUGAACUGCUUGUCUCCCUUAUAUGCCAUGUCAAAGGAUGUCCCUGGUCAUUGAAGGCAGCACCAGCCAGUCACCAGCCACGUGUGAACAAUGCAUGGGACAUCUCUGAGAUGUGCUUGUGUAGAUUAUGCACCUUGGAGCAGAAAUUUGGGAGCAUCAGCCUCUCCAACCAUCAGUACAUGAGUGGGUGGUCAUGGCCAUUCUCCAACGUGGUCCCUGGUCCACAGACUCCAACACAGGUUUGGGGCAGGGCUCCAUAUAAACAACAUUCUUCUCAUCCCUCAUUCUUUUUGCAUGGGACACUCAAACCCAAACCUUGGAAAUAAACACCAGCACGGAAAAGAAUGUUUACCAUUAAAUGUAUUAUUCCCUUGUGUACAAAGUAUUUUGCCUCUAUUGUAGGACACAGGUAUUGAAAUAUGAUGGCAAAUGCAGCAAGACCAUACAGACAUGUCAUACAGGUAUUCUCAUUUCCUUUUGAGCAUAAGCAGAAAGAAAGGAAAGAUUGUACAGGAAAGUGCUUGCAAAAAAAUACCCCAGUUUGUAGAAAAAUAAUGGCAUUGAUAUAUAAAAUCCAGAGUUCUUUCCUGAACAAGAAAUGUCUAUUGUCUCUGAUCCUCAAAAUCUGCUCUAUUUAAUGAUGACAAUUACGGAAUGUCAGGAUCGGUGCUCUGUCACUUUUUCCCCUUAUAGUUUAUUUUGUAUUCUUUUAGGUUCUGCUAGCUGCCUUGAAAUUAUAUGGUAGAAAUGAAUUUGUCCAGGUCAAAAUAGUAUUUCUUUUAUAAAUAGCCAUUCACUUCAUUUCACUUCACAUAUAGUGGUAAAGCACCACAAUUUCUUUCUGAAGUUCAUAGUGCAAUUUUCCCUUUUUCCCCUACAGAAUUUAUACAUAAGCAAUUAUCAUUAGAAAAAUCACUAUUCCAUUAUUACUCCUUUCCCCUUUCCCUUUUUUCUCUUUCUCUUUCCCUUUUUCCUCUUUCCUUCACCAGUUCUCCAGCUCCAGGCUAUACCACAGCCCUGCUCACCUGUGAGGUGUCUCCCAGCUGACAGGAAUGUGUCAAUCCCUGAUUGUCAGGCUGACAGGUUUCACUCCACAGGCUGAACACAGCCUGGCACACACAGGCUAUGAAUCCAGGGAUUGGAUCGUUUAUCACCAUUGAUCCAACUGUUUUGUAACACACUGAUUACACAUCGUUUGGGGAGCUCUGUAAAAGACUCACACAAGAUCCCAAGGUUGUGUUUGGUAGCUGCUUGCAUCCAAAAUGGAAAGAGU